UACAGAGGGGGCAAGCGUUAUUCGGAAUUAUUGGGCGUAAAGGGCGCGUAGGCGGCUUUGCAAGUGACGGGUGAAAUCCCUCGGCUUAACCGAGGAACUGCCUGUCAAACUGCAUGGCUUGAGACCGGGAGAGGUGAGUGGAAUUCCCAGUGUAGCGGUGAAAUGCGUAGAUAUUGGGAGGAACACCAGUGGCGAAGGCGGCUCACUGGACCGGUACUGACGCUGAUGCGCGAAAGCGUGGGUAGCAAACGGG
rnacentral:rRNA from 1 species